rnacentral:ribozyme from 1 species
UUGCUGAGGAGAAGAAAAGUCAGGCCUAUCUACACAGUAUCCAUGCGUACCCCAACAAAGAAAGCGCAGGUGCAGAAAUCCACCCGUGCCAAUAAACGAAGCCGGGUAGAGGUCA